UACGGAGGGUGGCAAGCGUUGUCCGGAAUUAUUGGGCGUAAAGCGCGCGCAGGCGGUUCCUUAAGUCUGAUGUGAAAGCCCACGGCUCAACCGUGGAGGGUCAUUGGAAACUGGGGAACUUGAGUGCAGAAGAGAAGAGUGGAAUUCCACGUGUAGCGGUGAAAUGCGUAGAGAUGUGGAGGAACACCAGUGGCGAAGGCGACUCUUUGGUCUGUAACUGACGCUGAGGCGCGAAAGCGUGGGGAGCAAACAGG
rnacentral:rRNA from 1 species